CUGAUACUUAGUGGCGGACGGGUGAGUAAUGCUUAGGAAUCUGCCUAGUAGUGGGGGGUAACUUGGGGAAACCCAAGCUAAUACCGCAUACGACCUACGGGUGAAAGGGGGCUUUUAGCUCUCGCUAUUAGAUGAGCCUAAGUCGGAUUAGCUGGUUGGUGGGGUAAAGGCCUACCAAGGCGACUAUCUGUAGCUGGUCUGAGAGGAUGAUCAGCCACACUGGGACUGAGACACGGCCCAG
rnacentral:rRNA from 1 species